rnacentral:rRNA from 1 species
AGUGAACGCUGGCGGUAGGCCUAACACAUGCAAGUCGAACGGCAGCACAGUAAGAGCUUGCUCUUACGGGUGGCGAGUGGCGGACGGGUGAGGAAUACAUCGGAAUCUACUUUUUCGUGGGGGAUAACGUAGGGAAACUUACGCUAAUACCGCAUACGACCUACGGGUGAAAGCAGGGGAUCUUCGGACCUUGCGCGAUUGAAUGAGCCGAUGUCGGAUUAGCUAGUUGGCGGGGUAAAGGCCCACCAAGGCGACGAUCCGUAGCUAGUCUGAGAGGAUGAUCAGCCACACUGGAACUGAGACACGGUCCAGACUCCUACGGGAGGCAGCAGUGGGGAAUAUUGGACAAUGGGCGCAAGCCUGAUCCAGCCAUACCGCGUGGGUGAAGAAGGCCCUCGGGUUGUAAAGCCCUUUUGUUGGGAAAGAAAAGCAGCAGGUUAAUACCCCGCUGUUCUGACGGUACCCAAAGAAUAAGCACCGGCUAACUUCGUG